GAUGAACGCUAGCUACAGGCUUAACACAUGCAAGUCGAGGGGCAGCAUGGUCUUAGCUUGCUAAGGCCGAUGGCGACCGGCGCACGGGUGAGUAACGCGUAUCCAACCUGCCUUACACUCUUGGACAGCCUUCUGAAAGGGAGAUUAAUACAAGAUGUUAUCAUGAGUAAGCAUUUUCGCAUGAUUAAAGGUUUACCGGUGUAAGAUGGGGAUGCGUUCCAUUAGAUAGUAGGCGGGGUAACGGCCCACCUAGUCUUCGAUGGAUAGGGGUUCUGAGAGGAAGGUCCCCCACAUUGGAACUGAGACACGGUCCAAACUCCUACGGGAGGCAGCAGUGAGGAAUAUUGGUCAAUGGACGAGAGUCUGAACCAGCCAAGUAGCGUGAAGGAUGAAGGUUCUAUGGAUUGUAAACUUCUUUUAUACGGGAAUAAACGGAUCCACGUGUGGA
rnacentral:rRNA from 1 species